rnacentral:rRNA from 1 species
GAUGAACGCUGGCGGCGUGCCUAAUACAUGCAAGUCGAGCGAACGGACGAGAAGCUUGCUUCUCUGAUGUUAGCGGCGGACGGGUGAGUAACACGUGGAUAACCUACCUAUAAGACUGGGAUAACUUCGGGAAACCGGAGCUAAUACCGGAUAAUAUUUUGAACCGCAUGGUUCAAAAGUGAAAGACGGUCUUGCUGUCACUUAUAGAUGGAUCCGCGCUGCAUUAGCUAGUUGGUAAGGUAACGGCUUACCAAGGCAACGAUGCAUAGCCGACCUGAGAGGGUGAUCGGCCACACUGGAACUGAGACACGGUCCAGACUCCUACGGGAGGCAGCAGUAGGGAAUCUUCCGCAAUGGGCGAAAGCCUGACGGAGCAACGCCGCGUGAGUGAUGAAGGUCUUCGGAUCGUAAAACUCUGUUAUUAGGGAAGAACAUAUGUGUAAGUAACUGUGCACAUCUUGACGGUACCUAAUCAGAAAGCCACGGCUAACUACGUGCCAGCAGCCGCGGUAAUACGUAGGUGGCAAGCGUUAUCCGGAAUUAUUGGGCGUAAAGCGCGCGUAGGCGGUUUUUUAAGUCUGAUGUGAAAGCCCACGGCUCAACCGUGGAGGGUCAUUGGAAACUGGAAAACUUGAGUGCAGAAGAGGAAAGUGGAAUUCCAUGUGUAGCGGUGAAAUGCGCAGAGAUAUGGAGGAACACCAGUGGCGAAAGCGACUUUCUGGUCUGUAACUGACGCUGAUGUGCGAAAGCGUGGGGAUCAAACAGGAUUAGAUACCCUGGUAGUCCACGCCGUAAACGAUGAGUGCUAAGUGUUAGGGGGUUUCCGCCCCUUAGUGCUGCAGCUAACGCAUUAAGCACUCCGCCUGGGGAGUACGACCGCAAGGUUGAAACUCAAAGGAAUUGACGGGGACCCGCACAAGCGGUGGAGCAUGUGGUUUAAUUCGAAGCAACGCGAAGAACCUUACCAAAUCUUGACAUCCUUUGACAACUCUAGAGAUAGAGCCUUCCCCUUCGGGGGACAAAGUGACAGGUGGUGCAUGGUUGUCGUCAGCUCGUGUCGUGAGAUGUUGGGUUAAGUCCCGCAACGAGCGCAACCCUUAAGCUUAGUUGCCAUCAUUAAGUUGGGCACUCUAAGUUGACUGCCGGUGACAAACCGGAGGAAGGUGGGGAUGACGUCAAAUCAUCAUGCCCCUUAUGAUUUGGGCUACACACGUGCUACAAUGGACAAUACAAAGGGCAGCGAAACCGCGAGGUCAAGCAAAUCCCAUAAAGUUGUUCUCAGUUCGGAUUGUAGUCUGCAACUCGACUACAUGAAGCUGGAAUCGCUAGUAAUCGUAGAUCAGCAUGCUACGGUGAAUACGUUCCCGGGUCU